UACAGAGGUCCCAAGCGUUGUUCGGAUUCACUGGGCGUAAAGGGUGCGUAGGUGGUGAGGUAAGUUUGAUGUGAAAGCUCCGAGCUCAACUCGGAAAUGGCAUUGACUACUAUCUUGCUGGAGGAUUGGAGGGGGGACUGGAAUUCUCGGUGUAGCAGUGAAAUGCGUAGAUAUCGAGAGGAACACCAGUGGCGAAGGCGAGUCCCUGGACAACACCUGACACUGAGGCACGAAAGCUAGGGGAGCAAACAGG
rnacentral:rRNA from 1 species